ACUUGCUAUGUGUAAAUAUCAUGGAGCCGACCCACUACAGCAGAGUACUUUUCCUGUUACUUUAGCUUGUGCGCCUUACAUAGACAACCCCUUAAAACUCAAGUUUCUGAGGACAGGGAUGGUUUCUGACGGAACCAAAAGUAGUUUUGUGGUCCCCUGGUUCACCCCUGUCGAUUCGACUACUUUUCCGUCGAAAUUCGGACCCACCCAUUUUCGCUAAAAACACAAAGGCUUUAGCCUUUGUAAAUUUGGCCAAAAAUGAAAAAUUUUAAAAUCGCUGGAAAUGGUUGGGAUUGGUCCGACAGCAUCCUCUUUCAAUAGCUCCGCCGAAAUUUCACGCCGCCGGGCCAUUUUAAGUGAGUUAUGCCUGCCCGCAGUUCAAAAGACCACCCCUUAAAACUCAAGUUUCUGAGGACAGGGGUGGUUUCUGACGGAACCAAAAGUAGUUUUGUGGUCCCCUGGUUCACCCCUGUCGAUUCGACUACUUUUCCGUCGAAAUCCGGACCCACCCAUUUUCGCUAAAAACACAAAGGCUAUAGCCUUUGUAAAUUUGGCCAAAAAUGAAAAACAAUUAAAAUCGCUGGAAAUGGUUGGGAUUGGUCUAGGAGAGUCGCCUUUGACCACCUCUGUCGAAAUUGCGUGCUUUCUGCUUCUCUUGCAUCGUGUUUCUUUAACUAUAAAAUUGCGUCUUUGGUUCGUUGCAGGAAGAUCGGCCUGGAGGUGCACCUAUCCUGGACAUCAGCAAAGCAGCUUGUGUGUCACCUGCUGUAUGCUGAGUUGGCGUCGCAGCACACAGCAGGAGGAAUCGCUCCUUUUUCUCAUGAUCGCAGGAAUGAAUCUGGUGUUCAGAUUCACCUCAAGUCACCAGCAACCAGCAGAAAGAAGCCGGCUACUAGAGGAAGACUUACUCUUAUAAUGUAAAUGAUUUGAAAUAAUAAAGAAUUUAAAAAAUGACUA